rnacentral:rRNA from 1 species
CUACGGGACGCACCAGUAGGGAAUCUUAGACAAUGGGGGAAACCCUGAUCUAGCCAUGCCGCGUGAGUGAUGAAGGCCUUAGGGUUGUAAAGCUCUUUCGCUGGGGAAGAUAAUGACGGUACCCAGUAAAGAAACCCCGGCUAACUCCGUGCCAGCAGCCGCGGUAAUACGGAGGGGGUUAGCGUUGUUCGGAAUUACUGGGCGUAAAGCGCGCGUAGGCGGGCUAUUAAGUCAGGGGUGAAAUCCCGGGGCUCAACCCCGGAACUGCCUUUGAUACUGGUAGUCUUGAGUUCGAGAGAGGUGAGUGGAAUUCCGAGUGUAGAGGUGAAAUUCGUAGAUAUUCGGAGGAACAUCAGUGGCGAAGGCGACUCAUUGGCUCGAUACUGACGCUGAGGUGCGAAAGUGUGGGGAGCAAACAGGAUUAGAUACCCUUGUAGUC